CGAACGGCAGGCGGGAAGUGCUCUAGCAGGGGAGUCUGACCUUGUGAGGGAAUACCUGUGUCCCCCCUUUUUUCCCCUUUUUACCCAAUAAAACCCUGCCUUACUCACCCUUUAAAUCAUCUGCGAGCCUGAAUUUUCAUGGCCGUGGGACGGACAAGAACUUUAUCUUCAGCUGAACUAAGAAAAAGUCCUGCAACAUUUUUGGCGCGCAAUGUGGGGGCACCAGAAGCGGGCACCGUUGAGCUGUUGCAACUGUUCUGCUGGAGCCUUAUGUAUGUGGUUGAAACCACCUGUACUACUGGAAUGAAAGCACCUUUACAGAAGAGGCAAUGCAAGUUGUAUUCAUCACAUGUGUAGAAUGAAUUAAGAUUUAUGCCAGUUGCAAAGAAGAAUAUUGGCUCACUAUUUUUCCUCUGGGCAUGUAUGGCUGGAGACCAGAAAACACCAGGAGUAUACACUUUCAGACAGA
rnacentral:lncRNA from 10 species